CUCACAUAUUCACACGCCUACAAAAUCUCAGUUUCUCUCUGUUUCUUUUUCUCAGAUCUAAUUCUAUAGGUCGGGAACAUUGUUCGCUUACUACGGCGUCGUUUUCACGUCGAUGAGCGAUCCGAACUUUGUGAAUACAAAUGUCUACCAUAUGCUUGUAAAUGAUGUCGUUGUUUUUGGCGAAAAUCAUGUUCCUGCCUUGCAUCAACUGAAUCGGAGGCCGCGGUGAAUGUUUAUAUGUGAAACGCUGUGUUCUUAUUGGAUUCCAAUUGAUCGGUAAUUGAUUUGCUCUGUGAUAGGUCUGGAUUUAAUAAUUAUUUUGUCAAUUGUGAUGGUGUAUAGCUGGAUCUUGGUAAAAUAAUUAAUGAGCAUUUAAUUUGAGUGAUAAA